CACCACCUUGACAUGGUGGGGGUCGUUGGUUCGAAUCCAAUCGAGCCUACCA
rnacentral:tRNA from 1 species